rnacentral:rRNA from 1 species
UACGUAGGGUGCGAGCGUUGUCCGGAAUUACUGGGCGUAAAGAGCUCGUAGGUGGUUUGUCGCGUUGUUCGUGAAAUCUCACGGCUUAACUGUGAGCGUGCGGGCGAUACGGGCAGACUAGAGUACUGCAGGGGAGACUGGAAUUCCUGGUGUAGCGGUGGAAUGCGCAGAUAUCAGGAGGAACACCGGUGGCGAAGGCGGGUCUCUGGGCAGUAACUGACGCUGAGGAGCGAAAGCGUGGGGGGCGAACAGG